rnacentral:snRNA from 1 species
AGACGUUUGGGAAGUGUUGCUC